rnacentral:piRNA from 1 species
UCAUCUCAUGGUACUGGCAUCUG